rnacentral:rRNA from 1 species
UACGUAGGGUGCAAGCGUUAAUCGGAAUUACUGGGCGUAAAGCGUGCGCAGGCGGUUGUGCAAGACAGAUGUGAAAUCCCCGGGCUCAACCUGGGAAUUGCAUUUGUGACUGCACGGCUAGAGUGUGUCAGAGGGGGGUAGAAUUCCACGUGUAGCAGUGAAAUGCGUAGAGAUGUGGAGGAAUACCGAUGGCGAAGGCAGCCCCCUGGGAUAACACUGACGCCUCUAGCACGAAGCGUGGGAGCAAACAGG